rnacentral:rRNA from 1 species
ACGGAAGGCAGCAGUGGGGAAUAUUGCACAAUGGGGGAAACCCUGAUGCAGCGACGCCGCGUGAGCGAAGAAGUAUUUCGGUAUGUAAAGCUCUAUCAGCAGGGAAGAUAAUGACGGUACCUGACUAAGAAGCUCCGGCUAAAUACGUGCCAGCAGCCGCGGUAAUACGUAUGGAGCAAGCGUUAUCCGGAUUUACUGGGUGUAAAGGGAGCGUAGGCGGUACUGCAAGUCUGGAGUGAAACUCCGGGGCUCAACCCCGGAACUGCUUUGGAAACUGUAGUACUUGAGUGUCGGAGGGGUAAGUGGAAUUCCUGGUGUAGCGGUGGAAUGCGUAGAUAUCAGGAGGAACACCGGUGGCGAAGGCGGCUUACUGGACGACAACUGACGCUGAGGCUCGAAAGCGUGGGGAGCAAACAGGAUUAGAUACCCUGGUA